GACGUAGGGCGCGAGCGUUGUCCGGAUUUAUUGGGCGUAAAGAGCUCGUAGGCGGCUCGUUGCGUCGGCUGUGAAAAACCCGCAGCUCAACUGUGGGCUUGCAGCUGAUACGGGCGGGCUGGAGUUCGGUAGGGGAGACUGGAAUUCCUGGUGUAGCGGUGAAAUGCGCAGAUAUCAGGAGGAACACCGGUGGCGAAGGCGGGUCUCUGGGCCGAUACUGACGCUGAGGAGCGAAAGCGUGGGGAGCGAACAGG
rnacentral:rRNA from 1 species